rnacentral:rRNA from 1 species
UACGUAGGGGGCAAGCGUUGUCCGGAAUUACUGGGCGUAAAGCGCACGUAGGCGGCUUUUUAAGUCAGGGGUGAAAUCCUGGAGCUCAACUCCAGAACUGCCUUUGAUACUGAGAAGCUUGAGUCCGGGAGAGGUGAGUGGAACUGCGAGUGUAGAGGUGAAAUUCGUAGAUAUUCGCAAGAACACCAGUGGCGAAGGCGGCUCACUGGCCCGGUACUGACGCUGAGGUGCGAAAGCGUGGGGAGCAAACAGG